rnacentral:ncRNA from 1 species
AUCAAAGCUAUAAUAAAGAAAUAGUAAAAGACUAGAGUCUUCACAGAGAGGGAACAUUUGGUGAAAGUUCCUAAGAUAUAAUCUUUGAACCAAUCUUUUAGCAUAAAGGUGGUAACAAACCUUUACGGUAGGGACCGUUAUAUCCCCUAAAGAGAGCCAAUGGCUAAUUAGAGUGGUACCGCGGAAAUUCAACCUUCCGUCUCUAUA